GGGGGCCGCGAAUUACCGGUCAGUUCGCUUGGCGGUUGGUCAAGAGGUGUAGGUUCGAGUCCUACGGCUUCCA
rnacentral:tRNA from 1 species